GUUUUAUGGAACAUUUCUUUCUAUUUCCUUUGUGAUGUCACAGAGUAUUUUCUGAGUAUAAAUAAGUGCUGGAUACUGACUACUGGCAAUGACACAUUCUAUGUGGGAAGGUGGCAACUUCAGAUUGUCAUUUUUAUCCUAUAAAGAUCCUUUCACUCUCAUUUUUAACCAGAACAGCACAGGAAGACAACGACUGACUACAAAGGCGCAAGGAAUGCCUCAGUCUGAGAGAGAGAGUGACAAAAGAGUGAGUGGGAGAGAAAAUGAACGACAACCACCACUAAAAGAAGAGCGUGACGCAUCUCCCCCUCUGUUAAA